rnacentral:rRNA from 1 species
GGCGAACGGGUGAGUAACACGUGGGUGAUCUGCCCUGCACUCUGGGAUAAGCCUGGGAAACUGGGUCUAAUACUGGAUAUGACCUUUCUCCUUAUGGGGUUUGGUGGAAAGUUUUUCGGUGUAGGAUGAGCCCGCGGCCUAUCAGCUUGUUGGUGGGGUGAUGGCCUACCAAGGCGACGACGGGUAGCCGGCCUGAGAGGGUGAUCGGCCACAUUGGGACUGAGAUACGGCCCAG